GACGAACGCUGGCGGCGUGCUUAACACAUGCAAGUCGAGCGGUAAGGCCCUUUCGGGGGUACACGAGCGGCGAACGGGUGAGUAACACGUGGGUGACCUGCCCUCAGCUCUGGGAUAAGCCUGGGAAACUGGGCUAAUACCGGAUAUGACUCCAUGACGCAUGUUGUGGGGUGGAAAGCCUUGUGCGGCUGAGGAUGGGCCCGCGGCCUAUCAGCUUGUUGGUGGGGUGANGGCCUACCAAGGCGACGACGGGUAGCCGGCCUGAGAGGGCGACCGGCCACACUGGGACUGAGACACGGCCCAGACUCCUACGGGAGGCAGCAGUGGGGAAUCUUGCGCAAUGGGCGAAAGCCUGACGCAGCGACGCCGCGUGAGGGAUGACGGCCU
rnacentral:rRNA from 1 species